rnacentral:rRNA from 1 species
CCUACGGGGGGCAGCAGUGAGGAAUAUUGGUCAAUGGGCGGGAGCCUGAACCAGCCAAGCCACGUGAGGGAAGAAGGUACAGCGUAUCGUAAACCUCUUUUGUCAGGGAACAAAGGCGGGGACUAGUCCCCGGAUGAGGGUACCUGAAGAAAAAGCAUCGGCUAACUCCGUGCCAGCAGCCGCGGUAAUACGGAGGAUGCGAGCGUUAUCCGGAUUUACUGGGUGUAAAGGGAGCGUAGGCGGCAGUGCAAGUCUGGAGUGAAAGGCGGGGGCUCAACCCCCGGACUGCUCUGGAAACGGUACGG